CAUAGGUUAAUGAGGCGAACCGGGGGAACUGAAACAUCUAAGUACCCCGAGGAAAAGAAAUCAACCGAGAUUCCCCCAGUAGCGGCGAGCGAACGGGGAGGAGCCCAGAGCCUGAAUCAGUGUGUGUGUUAGUGGAAGCGUCUGGAAAGGCGCGCGAUACAGGGUGACAGCCCCGUACACAAAAAUGCACAUAUUGUGAGCUCGAUGAGUAGGGCGGGACACGUGGUAUCCUGUCUGAAUAUGGGGGGACCAUCCUCCAAGGCUAAAUACUCCUGACUGACCGAUAGUGAACCAGUACCGUGAGGGAAAGGCGAAAAGAACCCCGGCGAGGGGAGUGAAAAAGAACCUGAAACCGUGUACGUACAAGCAGUGGGAGCCUCUUAAUGGGGUGACUGCGUACCUUUUGUAUAAUGGGUCAGCGACUUAUAUUCUGUAGCAAGGUUAACCGAAUAGGGGAGCCGAAGGGAAACCGAGUCUUAACUGGGCGUUAAGUUGCAGGGUAUAGACCCGAAACCCGGUGAUCUAGCCAUGGGCAGGUUGAAGGUUGGGUAACACUAACUGGAGGACCGAACCGACUAAUGUUGAAAAAUUAGCGGAUGACUUGUGGCUGGGGGUGAAAGGCCAAUCAAACCGGGAGAUAGCUGGUUCUCCCCGAAAGCUAUUUAGGUAGCGCCUCGUGAAUUCAUCUCCGGGGGUAGAGCACUGUUUCGGCAAGGGGGUCAUCCCGACUUACCAACCCGAUGCAAACUGCGAAUACCGGAGAAUGUUAUCACGGGAGACACACGGCGGGUGCUAACGUCCGUCGUGAAGAGGGAAACAACCCAGACCGCCAGCUAAGGUCCCAAAGUCAUGGUUAAGUGGGAAACGAUGUGGGAAGGCCCAGACAGCCAGGAUGUUGGCUUAGAAGCAGCCAUCAUUUAAAGAAAGCGUAAUAGCUCACUGGUCGAGUCGGCCUGCGCGGAAGAUGUAACGGGGCUAAACCAUGCACCGAAGCUGCGGCAGCGACACUAUGUGUUGUUGGGUAGGGGAGCGUUCUGUAAGCCUGUGAAGGUGGCCUGUGAGGGUUGCUGGAGGUAUCAGAAGUGCGAAUGCUGACAUAAGUAACGAUAAAGCGGGUGAAAAGCCCGCUCGCCGGAAGACCAAGGGUUCCUGUCCAACGUUAAUCGGGGCAGGGUGAGUCGACCCCUAAGGCGAGGCCGAAAGGCGUAGUCGAUGGGAAACAGGUUAAUAUUCCUGUACUUGGUGUUACUGCGAAGGGGGGACGGAGAAGGCUAUGUUGGCCGGGCGACGGUUGUCCCGGUUUAAGCGUGUAGGCUGGUUUUCCAGGCAAAUCCGGAAAAUCAAGGCUGAGGCGUGAU
rnacentral:rRNA from 1 species